rnacentral:rRNA from 1 species
UUUGAAAUCUGGCUCUUUUAGAGUCCGAGUUGUAAUUUGCAGAGGGCGCUUUGGCUUUGGCAGCGGUCCAAGUUCCUUGGAACAGGACGUCACAGAGGGUGAGAAUCCCGUACGUGGUCGCUGGCUAUUGCCGUGUAAAGCCCCUUCGACGAGUCGAGUUGUUUGGGAAUGCAGCUCUAAAUGGGAGGUACAUUUCUUCUAAAGCUAAAUAUUGGCCAGAGACCGAUAGCGCACAAGUAGAGUGAUCGAAAGAUGAAAAGCACUUUGGAAAGAGAGUCAAACAGCACGUGAAAUUGUUGAAAGGGAAGCGCUUGCAGCCAGACUUGCUUACAGUUGCUCAUCCGGGUUUCUACCCGGUGCACUCUUCUGUAGGCAGGCCAGCAUCAGUUUGGGCGGUAGGAUAAAGGUCUCUGUCACGUACCUCCUUUCGGGGAGGCCUUAUAGGGGAGACGACAUACUACCAGCCUGGACUGAGGUCCGCGCAUCUGCUAGGAUGCUGGCGUAAUGGCUGUAAGCGGCCCGUCUUGAAACACGGACCAAGGAGUCUAACAUCUAUGCGAGUGUUUGGGUGUCAAGCCCGAGCGCGUAAUGAAAGUGAACGGAGGUGGGAACCCGCAAGGGUGCACCAUCGACCGAUCCUGAUGUCUUCGGAAGGAUUUGAGUAAGAGCAUGGCUGUUGGGACCCGAAAGAUGGUGAACUAUGCUUGAAUAGGGUGAAGCCAGAGGAAACUCUGGUGGAGGCUCGCAGCGGUUCUGACGUGCAAAUCGAUCGUCAAAUUUGGGCAUAGGGGCGAAAGACUAAUCGAACUAUCUAGUAGCUGGUUCCUGCCGAAGUU